AACGCGAAGAACCUUACCAGGUCUUGACAUCGAUGUAAACCCGUAGAGAUACGGGGUGCCUUCGGGCGACAGAAGACAGGUGGUGCAUGGUUGUCGUCAGCUCGUGUCGUGAGAUGUUGGGUUAAGUCCCGCAACGAGCGCAACCCUUAUGAUCAGUUACUAACAGGUAAAGCUGAGGACUCUGAUGAGACUGCCGGGGACAACUCGGAGGAAGGUGGGGACGACGUCAAAUCAUCAUGCCCCUUAUGACCUGGGCUACACACGUGCUACAAUGGUGACAACAAAGAGGUGCGAGCUGGCAACAGUAAGCGGAUCUCAAAAAAGUCAUCUCAGUUCGGAUUGUGGGCUGCAACCCGCCCACAUGAAGUUGGAGUUGCUAGUAAUCGCGAAUCAGCAUGUCGCGGUGAAUACGUUCCCGGGUCUUGUACACACCG
rnacentral:rRNA from 1 species